GUUUUAAUAAUUUAAUAAAAAUAUUGGUCUUGUAAACCAAAAUUAAGGUUUUCCUUUUAAAACU
rnacentral:tRNA from 1 species